rnacentral:rRNA from 1 species
GACGAACGCUGGCGGCGUGCUUAACACAUGCAAGUCGAACGGAAAGGCCCUGCUUGCAGGGUACUCGAGUGGCGAACGGGUGAGUAACACGUGGGUGAUCUGCCCUGCACUUCGGGAUAAGCCUGGGCAACUGGGUCUAAUACCGGAUAGGAGCCAUUUUUAGUGUGAUGGUUGGAAAGUUUUUUCGGUGUAGGCUGAGCUCGCGGCCUAUCAGCUUGUUGGUGGGGUAAUGGCCUACCAAGGCGGCGACGGGUAGCCGGCCUGAGAGGGUGGACGGCCACAUUGGGACUUAGAGACGGCCCAGACUCCUACGGGAGGCAGCAGUGGGGAAUAUUGCACAAUGGGCGCAAGCCGGAUGCAGCGAGGCCGCGUGGGGGAUGACGGUCUUCGGGUUGUAAACUCCUUUCGCUAGGGACGAAGCUUUUUGUGACGGUACCUAGAUAAGAAGCACCGGCUAACUACGUG